rfam:Poecilia formosa, whole genome shotgun sequence.
GUGGGAUGAGGUAGUAGGUUGUAUAGUUUUAGGGUCACACCCGCACUGGGAGAUAACUAUUCAACCUGCUGUCUUUCUCAA